CUCAGGAGUCAACCGCCGGCGCGCGCCGUGUCACGACUCGCAUAAUCGUACGAUUUGUACGUGUCGCUGUGCCGCCCGAAACAUAGGGUUUCUCUUCAAGGCAAUACCUCUCUUGUUGCUUCAAACAUGAAAUUUGCAGCUCGUCGUUGGCGCGAUUCUAAACAAAACGAAGAGAAAAAAAUGUACACCCACUUGACUUCGAAUUCAGAGCACACCUAUAAUUCAACACCUAAAUUUAGCGCAUAUUACACUUCCUUUCUCUCUUCGCUAAAAGGGCACCGAAAUUUGCUGCGUCGAAGGCAUCUCGUGGCUAUUGUUGUAUCAUUUAUUUAGACUUUCUCUUUAAAUAAAUAAAUUGCGAUCACUUUUUCGUUUUUUUUUUCUUUUCUUUGCUUAAUAGCAUGGACGUCAGAGCAUCUGUACUCAAUGGUGACAAGAGGAGAGAUUAAAAGUAUUCCAUAGCUCCCUAACUUUCCCGCUUACGUUACACUCGUCGAUUUAACUCCUAGCAUAGUGCAGAAAAUAGUUUUCAUUUUUCUUUUUUUUCUACUAACUUUACUCGCGGGUGAUUUUCUUCUUUUUUUUUCUCUUUGUUUAAAUUACUUGCUUAAUUGGUAGUACAUCGUAAUCUAGGCGCUCUCUGCUUUAUUUAAACUACCUGAAGACUUCAUUCAAUAAACGGCAUUAAGAUACAUACGCAGGCGGAGUCGUACGAAACUAAUCUCUUCGUCGAAUGUACAGUAUAGCGUGAUUGCGUGAUUAUUAAGUGGAGACACGCCGGAACGUUACGUGGAAGGAGCGUUGAGAAUUUUCUUUUUAUACAUGUACUAUAUUAUCCAAACGCAAUUACGUUUUGAACGCGUACGCGUGCAAUCUUUUAUUUAACGUAUAGGUACUUUUGUGUUUAUGUAUGUAUGUUUGUUAUCUUAAAUGUUACCUAGUCUUUAUCGUUAUUACUAUUUUAUUACCAAGGUGCCCUGGCUGUCAGCAAAACUACGAAAUCGUAAAUCGUAAAAUUGUUUACAGUGCGAUCGAAAGAAAAGGUAUUCGGUUCCAUCGAGUGUAAAAUACAUAUGCGUGUGUAUGAUUUUCUAUACACUAUCGCAACACAUUGCCAUUUUCCAUCGAAGAAGUGGCUCAUCUCUUUCGUUUAAACGUACGGAUUUGUUGGGCUGUCUGUUAGGAACCUUAAUAAGGCAACGAAGGAGCCCUGAAUCUUACAAGUGUAAUCUUUCUUUCUCCCUUCUUACGCUUUUUUACGGUAUUUUUUGAAGUUUAGCAUCCUUUAUCGUAUAUUCAGACACGGCUAAAUGUUUAUUAUUGCCUUACAAGAGAAAGAGAGAUAGAGAAAGAGAGAGACUCGGUACCGAAAAUUUAUCAUUACAUAAUGCUGUGAAAUCAUGUAAUGAUAAACCGUGUAAAAUAUAUCAGGAUUUUUUAUACAUAUAUAAAAAGCUUCAUGCGCAUAUCGUCAAUUCUAUUAGUAAUUCUCCUAGUUUCGUGAACGGAUCUAAGCUCUCAAAAGUAGCGCAAAAAUACAUAAUAUUAUAAAAUUUCAUCACAACAAUUUUUAAAUUUUCAAGACAUAUUGAAAUACGAUUAAUCACAUAUAUACAACAUCAAUAAAAGCAUAACAUCCGCUAACAGACAAAAAGUCCGAAGAUAGCAGAUAUUUUCAACAACUUCAUA